rnacentral:lncRNA from 1 species
CUUCUGGAUGUUAUUAGAGCAGCACUUAAGUGAAGCAGUUUGACAUAAAUGUAAUGUAAAUGAGACAAAAAAUUGACCUAAUUUUAUACAUUGUAUUGCCCUUGUACGUCUAUCCUCAAAAUAAGAUUCAAAACUCCAAUGGUCUACCUUUCAAAUUUAUUUCCAAUUUGAUCAUCUUAGUAAAAUUAGAGUUCAUCAACUACCGUACUUGAGACAUCUAGAUCCUUAUCUUAACAGGAGUAAUUUGUAAGGAUUCAACUUGCUUACUUCACUAUUUCUUCCUUACAAUGGCCAAAAACAGAGGUAACCCUCUGCUAUCUUUAUUUAUAUAUAGCCAAAAUGAGUACAGAAAAACAUAAGAUUCAAGAAAAACAAGGAAUAAUGAAGACAAACCCAGCUUCCUCUAGGGAAAGACUGGAUAUUCCUCUAGGCUAAGCAGCCGCCAACUUCAGGAUAAAAAUAAAACCUACCUCCCCUAGACCUAAAAACCCUAUUUAUAUUCCUUCUCUCAUCUUUCUCUUAUUUCUGUGCCUGGGCCCCACCUGCACGAUCUCCUCCUCUUUUUCCUUCCUCAUUAUUAAUUUGUCCAAUUACUUUUCUGCCCCUCCUUUGAUAUGUAUGAAUAAUUGGAGGUCUUACAAUACCCGGGGCUCCAAGUUCACCUUGUCCUCAAGGUGAAACUGAGGGAACUGCUGAUUCAAUAGGUAAACUGAUUCCCACGUUGCUUCACUGUCUGGUAAGUUCUUCCAUUUGAUCAGCCACUCAUUGCCUCCUAGCUCCUUGUUCCACCUUAUUCCCAGCACGUUUUCCGGCCACAAUUGUAGUUCAAAAUCCUCAGUUAGUAUAGGCUGUUGUUGCUGGACUACAUGUUGUUUUCCCAACUUCAGUUUCAGUUGAGACACGUGAAAGACAUUGUGAAUGGCGGCCUCGGGCGGUAGUUGCAAUCGAUAAGCGACCUCUCCUAUCUCUUCAAUAACCUCAUACGGCCCAUAAAAUUUUGGGGAUAGCUUUUCACAUUUCUUCCGAGCUAGUGAUCUUUGUCGAUAGGGUCGUAGUUUCAAAUACACUUCAUCCCCAAUUUUGAAUUUGAGCUCCCUGCGGUUUCGGUCUGCCAUUUUCUUCAUUCUAUUUUGAGCUAUGCAUAGGUUUUCCUUCAGUGCAUUGAGUGCUAAAUCUCUCUCCUUCAACAUGACUUCUACGUCAUUGUUAGGAGAUUGCUUCCAUCCAUAUGACAGCAGUGGCGGGGGAGUUCUUCCAAAAACAGAUUGGUAAGGAGUAGUUUUGGUGGAUGCGUGGAAGGUUGUGUUAUACCAUAAUUCCGCCCAAGGGAUCAGUUUAUCCCAUUUCUUCGGUUGUUCAUUGCAAAAGCAUCUCAAAUAGGUCUCUAGGCAUCUGUUUACCCUCUCGGUUUGUCCAUCGGUUUGGGGAUGGAAUGCCGUGCUUCUCUUCAAAAUGGUGCCCAUGGUAGUGAACAACUCCUUCCAGAAAUUGCUAAGGAAGAUCUUAUCACGGUCGGUAAUAAUGGACUUGGGUAUUCCAUGUUUGCUGACCACUUUUUCCAAAAAAAUUGAAGCCACUUGCUUGGCUGUGUACGGGUGUUUCAGAGGCAAGAAGUAGGAGUACUUACUUAGGCGGUCGACGACUACCAUAAUCACGUUGUAACCUCCUGCUAUUGGCAGCCCUUCAAUAAAAUCCAUGGUCCAAUCCUCCAAUAUCUUGUCGGGUAUAGGAAUGGGUUGCAGAACUCCCGCAGGCUUUGUAGCUUCGAACUUAUUACGUUGACAAGUGUCACAUUCUUCUACAUAUCUCUUGAUAUCAGCCUUCAUUCCUUUCCAAAAUAGUUCCCCACUCAUUCUUUUAUAGGUUCUCAAGAAUCCCGAGUGCCCUCCUAAUAUGGAAUCAUGGAACGUGUGUAGAAGACUCGGAAUGAGGGAGGAAUUUCGCGGCAGCACCAUCCUUCCUUUAUAUAGCAGCCUGCCAUUGUUCCACUGGUAUUUCCCACCUUGAUCCACCUCUCCCUUAAGUUCGGCAAUAAUUUUCUGAAGUUCUUGAUCCAUUUCAACUUCCUUCGCUAUUAUCUCUAUAUCAACUAUGCCUGUGGUUGUCAUUGUAUUUAACUCCACCGAAUGGUCCUUCCUUGAGAGAGCAUCCGCCACCUUAUUCUGCAGACCCGGCUGGUAUAAGAUCUCAAAGUCAUACCCCAAAAGUUUUGUGAGCCACUUUUGGAAUUGAGGCUGAACUUCCCUCUGUUCUAACAGAAAUUUCAGAGCCUUCUGAUCUGAAACAAUUGUGAACUUUCUGCCCAGGAGAUAAUGUCUCCAUUUUUGCACCGAAAGGACAACCGCCAUCAAUUCCCUUUCAUAGAUCGACUUACCCUGGGCUCUUGGGGACAGUUUCUGGCUGAAGAAUGCGAUGGGAUGACCAUUCUGUGAUAAAACUGCACCUAAACCUACUCCUGAAGCAUCAGUUUCGAUUGUGAAGGGCUGAGACCAAUCCGGCAAUGCUAAUACCGGUAAGGUUGUCAUUGCUAGCUUCAGCUGGUCAAACGCUAUUGUAGCUUCCUCAUUCCAAUGGAAUGCAUUUUUCUGAAGUAAUUUGGUUAAGGGUGCAGCUAUUUCUCCAUAGCUUUUCACAAAUCUUCUAUAAUACCCAGUCAGUCCAAGGAAUCCCCUCAGCCCAGUUAUAUCUUUCGGCCGUGGCCAAUUUACCAUACUGCGAAUCUUGUCCUCAUCAGCCUCCACUCCUCUGCUGGAAAUCAGAUGACCCAAAUAUUGAACUUGGGAAUGAGCAAUGACACAUUUAGACCUAUUUGCAAACAAUUCAUGGUCCCUCAAGAUAGCAAAAACCAUUCCUAAAUGUUUCAUGUGCUCAUCUAUGUCCACACUAUAAACUAGAAUGUCAUAAAAAAAAACCAGGACACACCUUCGAAGGAAUGGUUUGAACACCUCGUUCAUGAGAGAUUGGAAGGUGGCAGGAGCAUUCGUAAGGCCGAAAGGCAUCACCAAGAACUCAUAAUGUCCUUCAUGCGUGCGGAAAGCUGUUUUCUCCACAUCUUCCUCCCUCAUCCUAAUCUGGUGGUAUCCAGAUUUAAGGUCUAACUUUGAGAAAACUGUCGCACCAUGAAGUUCAUCUAAGAGUUCUUCGAUCACGGGAAUUGGAAAUUUAUCAGCCACCGUUACUUGAUUGAGUUUCCUGUAAUCUACACAAAAUCUCCACCCUCCGUCCUUUUUCUUCACUAAGAGGACCGGGCUCGAAUAUGGGCUGCGGCUUGGACGAAUCACUCCAGCUUGUAACAUUUCUAACACCAAUUUUUCAAUCUCUUCCUUUUGUACAUGGCCAUACUUAUAUGGUCUUACAUUAAUUGGUUUCUGAUCGGCCACGGUCAGAAUGCGAUGGUCUAUGGCUCUCCUUGGCGGUAAACCCGUGGGCAACCUAAAGACAUCUGCAUAUUGCUCGAGCAAUCGCUGAACCAUGGGUAAUCCUUCUUCCUUUCCCUUCAAUUCAGCUUCUGUUUCCGAUUCUCCUUCAUAGUUUACUUCAUAGUUUUGGAAUUCCAAGAGGAAUCCUUGGUCCCCGGAUUGCCACGUUUUCUCUAAGGUUCUCAAUGAACAUUCUGACUUCGUUAGAGAAGGGUCACCUUUUAGGAUUAUUCUUCUACCCUUCAUCCAAAACGUCAUGGUUAGGGAUGGCCAGUGAACCUUCAUGGUUCCUGUCGAAUCUAGCCAUUGCAUCCCAAGCACCAAGUCUACCGUUCCUAACUCUACCGCUAGGAAAUCUGCUACGAUUGUUAACUCUUUUAACUUCACCUUCACCCUCUUGCAAAUCCCACUUCCUUCACAUUGGUUGCCAUUCCCAAUGGUAACUCCAAAACGAGUUCCCGGAUCGAUGCUCAGCUGUAGUUCAUCUACCAACACUUGGCUGAUGAAGUUAUUGGUCGCCCCGCUGUCAAUCAGAAUAACUACUUCCCUUCCGUUCACAUGUCCUUUUAAUUUCAUCGUCCCCUUUGAUGUAACUCCCGUGAUCAACCUCAAUUCAAUAGGGUUAUCCAUAUUCAAUUCCAGAUGAUUCAGUUCUAUUACUUCGCUUGCCUCAUCCUCUGUAUCCUCUUCCCUUUUGUGGUCUUCUUCCUCAUUUAGUAUAAGGAGCAUCAACUCUCUUUUUUCUCUCCCUUUACAUCGAUGGCCUGGGGCGUACUUUUCAUUACAUCUGAAACAAAGCCCCUUAUCCAGCCUUGCUCUAAAUUCCGUAUCCGACAGCCGUUUAAUUGGGGAUCUUUUUUCUGGUAAUCAUUUUUCAAUGGAAUAGUUACCUGCUUCAUCACAAACUCUGUCUUUUUACUUUCUGUCUUCUCAUUUUUUCCUUGAAAUUUGCUGCUGUUCUCAUUCCUUUUGGGCUCAACUAUAUCCAACUCUUCCAUCGCCAGUUUUAAUGCUAUAUUCCUAUCAUUCACCAGCUGAGCUUCCUUCAUACAUUCCUCUAAAGUUUGAGGGUGUCUGCUGAUUACUUCCGCUUGCAGUGAGGGUUCCAGACCCGUUAAAAACGCAUCCAGCAGAACACUUUCUGCCAUGUCCGGGAGGGGGGCUGAGUAUGUAACAAACUUCUUAACGUACUCGCUGUAUGAGCCUUCUUGCUUAAUACGGAUUAAUCUUGCCCCCAAGCUCUGCUGUCCUGUAUCAUUAAAGAAAUCAAACAUCCUUUCCUUCAAGUCCUCCCAAGAUUCCACCCUCUUUCUACGAUUACUCCAUCUAAACCAGUCUACCUCUUCCUGUCCAAAACUCACGACUGCUACUUUGACCUUCUCAGCUUCCGGUAAGUCAUUUAUAUCAAAAAAAUGUUCUGCUCGGUACGCCCAGGAUUCAGGGUUCAUCCCUGUAAACAGUGGCAUUUCUAAUUUUUUGUACUUACUUUGGUCUGCGCUGCUUCCACCCGACUCGACUAUGGUUCCGGCCUCUUCCAGUUUUCCCUUCAGUUUCAACCUGAUGUCGUCCGUAGUCCCUGCUUCUUCUGUUUUCUUAGCACCAUGGUUUUCUCUUAGCUCGUCUGUCAUUCGAUCCAUCGAUUUCUUCAUUUCCAGCAUCAUCUCCUUCAGACUCAUAAUUUCCUUUUCAGUACCUUCUACCCGUUCUUCUAUCUGUCUUUGAGCCAUCAGACGCGUGAUCACCCCCAGUGUGGAGGCUCUGAUACCAAUAUGUAAGGAUUCAACUUGCUUACUUCACUAUUUCUUCCUUACAAUGGCCAAAAACAGAGGUAACCCUCUGCUAUCUUUAUUUAUAUAUAGCCAAAAUGAGUACAGAAAAACAUAAGAUUCAAGAAAAACAAGGAAUAAUGAAGACAAACCCAGCUUCCUCUAGGGAAAGACUGGAUAUUCCUCUAGGCUAAGCAGCCGCCAACUUCAGGAUAAAAAUAAACCUACCUCCCCUAUACCUAAAAACCCUAUUUAUAUUCCUUCUCUCAUCUUUCUCUUAUUUCUGUGCCUGGGCCCCACCUGCACGAUCUCCUCCUCUUUUUCCUUCCUCAUUAUUAAUUUGUCCAAUUACUUUUCUGCCCCUCCUUUGAUAUGUAUGAAUAAUUGGAGGUCUUACAUAAUUCUUUUCUCGUCACUUUACCAAAACUUGACACAAUAUGCUUUUGGUUUUGCAUUACAAGAAUAAAAACUGCAGUUGCUCAAUGUACUCAGGGUUAGCUCUAGUAACCUUGUCAGAGCUGUUUUCCCAUGAGUUUCAUUCUUCCACACACGUGUUGGCUAUAUAAAUAAUGUCUUUCUAUAUAGGAAUGAAUCCCACACGGAGUACUCA